rnacentral:ribozyme from 14 species
GGAAAGAUGGGAAAGUAUACACUUGAUCAUUUUCAUAUGAUACAAGAAUCUCCUUUUUAUCUUUUGUCAAGUCAAUACCACUAACUGAUACGUUGUCACUUUCAUGGAAACAAGAAGGACGGUAUGU